AUGGUCCCUGGGACUCCUGGCUUAUUUGAGAUGUGUGAUUGUGAAGGCAGUGACCUGGCUUCUUGGGUCCCACCAGAGAAGGAGGAAGUGAUUGUGAAUGUUCUGGGGUUAGGGUCUGAAAGAGCAUACGUGGUUUUGGGGGCUCCCUCUAUUCCUUCCUUUCCUGUUUCCCCAUUUGCUCCCCAGGCCCCACUUGGGACACUAGGCCUGCCAUGGUCUCCCAGAGAGAUUCCCCACGUAGGAGUAAGAGAAUGCCUGCUGGCCAAAUGUGUGAGUGUGUGCAGGUCUGUGAGCCUGCUUGCGUGCGUGUGUGCGGGUGCAGGCCUGCACUUGUUCCUGGGCACAUCUGAGUACAUGCCCGUGGCAGGAGGGAGACUGAAGGACUGGGAGGUAUGUGAUUGAGGAAGGCCAUCAGCAGAGGGAAGAGAAGCUUGUUGGAAAUCACCGGGCCAUUAUAACCGACAUCAACAGCUGCCUCUCGAAUUGGGAAGGAAAUAGAUACAAGCUCGAGAGGAUGGUCAGACUGAAAGAUUCCAGUGUGUCUGCGUGAGCAAGCGUCACUUCAUAAAAGACCUACUUGGGCCAAGCAGCCUCCUUAUGGUAAUUGUCUUUCUCUGGCCAUUAGUGAUGGGGAGUGCAGGACCUUGGUUGAGGCCAAAGAUCAGGGGUCAGAAGCAAAGGGGAAGGAUGCGACUAGCUGAGUAAAACUGUGGGCUCCUCUGCCUUUGGGGAGGGCUCACACGGUUGCUUUUUUUUUUUUGGAGACAGAGUCUCACUUUGUGGCCCAGCCUGGAAUGCAAUGGUGUGAUCUCAGCUCCUGCACACUCCACCUCCGAGUUCCAGCAGUUUUCCUGCCUCAGCCUCCCGGGUAGCUGGGAUUACAGGCACGCGCCACCACACCCAGCUAAUUUUUGUGUUUUUAGUAAAGACGGGCUUUCACCAUGUUGGCCAGGCUGGUCUCCAACCCUUGACCUCAAGUGAUCCGCCCGCCUUGGCCUCCCAAACGGUUGCUGACUUUUAAAGACAGAAAAGAAGGGAGGAACCAGGAAAAGCAAACCUUAAAUUUUCUAAAUUUUCUAACAAUCUUGUAUUUAAACGAUGCUUAGUGUAUACAGGACACCAAGCUGUCGUUCCUGGGGAGGAGGAGUCUAAAAGGCCCUGCAAAUGGUCCUGCCUGGUAGAGAGAGGAACUUCAGUAAAUGUUUGUUGAUUGACUGAAAGUAGGCAGAGAGUUUCAGCAGGUCCUGGAAGAGUGUUCAGGGCAACUCAGUUGGAUUGAGGGGGCCACAGGCAUUUUCUGUUUCCUAUACUCCCAUUCUGCAGUGAGGGGACAAUGGUGGGCAUGUGUAUAUAUAUAUAUAUAUAUAUAUAUAUGAUAAAUGCACACACACGAAGUCUCUCCUUGGCAAACAUAGAGGUAAGUGGAAUUGCUUAUUCAUUUACAAUUCUCUGAGCCAAACCUUGGGUUCCUUUGGGAGAAGCUGUUUGACUAACAAAGGGAAGGGGGCUGGAAGUGACUGGGCGUCCUCUUCCUGGCCCCACAUUGACCCUGUUCCAGUGGCGUGAGAUGGCCACAGGACCCUGACUGAGCCUGACUGAGGGUUGGGGAGCCCACACUGCGGGUGGGUGCUGCCACCUGGGUGCCACUCUCUCUUGUCAGAUGCCGGCCGACAGCCUGCCUGUCCAGGCCAUCUUCAAUGGCCCCAUCAUGCCAUUCUCCCUGUGAUAAUUUUUAACUAGUGAAGAAUUUUGCUAAGCCUCUCAUUUGGGCUUUAAAAAAAUGCCAUUGAUUAUUUGCACAUGAACUCAGAGAGUAAUCAAGGUAAGAAUAGGAUGAAAGAACCAGGCAUCCACAGAAGCCACUGAUGGGAGGAUCUCCCCCUCCCUUUCCUGAGCUUUCUUGGGCAGGGUGGAGAUGGCCCCAUACAACCUAGACUGGAUUUCGGGUAUCACAACCCUCCUGCUGGGGUUCAGGAUGUGCCUGCCCUUUGGGGGCUUUUGUGCGUGGGACUCAGAGCUCUGAUGAAGUGGCUGUGCCCUUGAGGUGAAAGGCAGACAGAGGGCAGAGGAGCCCUAACCAGCUGCUUGUCACUGGGAAGCAGUUGUGAGCAGGGGUGCUUGCUGGAAGCUCCAGCACUUGGCUGGCCAUUGUCCAGGAAGAAUGAUUCCUUCUGUUGGAUGCAGGGGUGGGAAGGAAGUAUCUGCCUGGGAGUCAGGAAAACAAGGCUGUGGUGUCUGCCUGGUCUAGGUCACUUGCCUUCUGUCUGCCUCAGUUUCCUCUUCUGUCAAAUAAGUGGUUUGGACCAAGUGGGUAUCCUAGUAAACAGCCUCAGGAGAGCUAGCAGGACUAGGCAAGGUAAGGUAUGGAUGGGCAGCUUACAAAGCUGGGCUCUUUCAGUGUGGACCAGCUCAGUCUUUGGGUCCCUCGAUAAGCUCUGGCUAUAUGACCUUGGGAAGCCACUUAACCUCUAUAAGCCUCGAUUUUUCACUUUGUGAAGGGGGUUACAUGACAUUUGCUUUGAAGAGUUGGGGGUAUUGAAUGAGCUAAUUCACAUGAAGUGCCUAGAGUAGGGCCUGGUAUAGAAUAGAGCAGGCUUUUACAAAACAGAUUCCCUUUAGCCGGGCACGCAGUGGCUCAUGCCUAUACUCCCAGAACUUUGGGAGGCCGAGGCGGGUGGAUCACCUAAGGUCAGGAGUUUGAGACCAGCCUGACCAAUAUGGAUGGAGAAACCUUAUCUCUACCAAAAAUACAAAAUUAGCCAGGCUUGGUGGUGUGAAUCUAAUCUCAGCUACUCAGGAGGCUGAGGCAGGAGAAUCGCUUGAACCCAGGAGGCGGAAGUUGUGGUGAGCUGAGAUUGCGCCAUUGCCUGGGCGACAAGAGUGAAACUGUCUCAGAAAAAAAACAAAAUAAAAUAAAUUCCCUUUUAAUUUCCUUUUUCCUCCUGUCCUCUCUGCCUGUGCUCACAUUCUUCUCAUUCCAUUGCUGAACCAAAUUUGAGAAUUGGAAAGCCGUGUAAGGAGACUGUAGUUUGAUUCCCCGUGUAAGCGUGACGACUGCAGGACAUUCUAACAUUCUACUCCUGGCUCCAGUGGGGUUUGCUAUCAGUCACAGCCACUUCAUGAAGGUUUGUAUUGUUCGAAAGCUCAUUCUGGAAGACACUGUUCAUUAAAGAAAACGUCCCUUUGAUAUGGAUAUAUACAAUCCUAGAUCAUAGUACAGGAAAAAUAGUCUUGCUUGAUGUUAGGCACGACGGAACAGAUCUUAUUUUCCCUUUGUGCUGUGGUUGCCAGAAAACACAGUUAAGUUUGUGCUCAAGAGCUGUGAUGUCUGACAUGCUUGUACUGCCCAGUCUCCUUUUAUAAAUCUCUCAAGGGAAGCUUCUCUGGCUCCUCAAGGCUGAGGAAGAGACCACCUUUAAUGCCCCUGGAUGACCCAUGCCCACGUCCAUCUGAACUCUCAGGCUGAUGGCCUUAUUUCCUUUUUCUCAACACACACAUACACAUACACACAGAAUUUAAGUUCCUUAAGCCAUGGAGUGUGUCAUUCUGCCCAGUACACCCAGCACAAAACACAUGGUAUCUGAAACUUUGGAUCUACUCCAUGAAUAUUCAUUGAAUAAAGAGAUAAAUGAAUGAACAAAUGGUUAAAAAAAGCGCUUAGUUCAGGUUUCAGGUCUAAUUAUCCUUCCCAUUCUACUCUAUGGGUUUUGAUCUUUGACGCCUGAUCUUUUGCAAUGAUUGAACACUUUUGAUUAGAAACAUAACUUCAGGC
ensembl:lncRNA